AAAGCCUUAGCUUAAUUAAAGUGUUUGAGUUGCAUUCAUAAGAUGUGGGGUAGAGUCCCGCAGGUUUUAC
rnacentral:tRNA from 1 species